UAGGACUAUACUUUCAGGGAUCAUUUCUGUAGUUGGUAACUAGAGGAGUGUGAUCGAAAGUGUCCGGCGUCACAAACCACGAGGAGGAGCAGCGUGUUCUCUCCUGAGCGCGAAGCGGGCGGGCGGUGCUGCUUGUGCAGGAGCCGCCCGUCAUUGAUGACCGUUCCAGUCCCACUUGGUUGGGUCUGGGAGGGAGAGAACACAGGCUGAGUGGAGUGUGAUCGAAAGUGUCCGGCGUCACAAACCACGAGGAGGAGCAGCGUGUUCUCUCCUGAGCGCGAAGCGGGCGGGCGGUGCUGCUUGUGCAGGAGCCGCCCGUCAUUGAUGACCGUUCCCGUCCUACUUGGUUGGGUCUGGGAGGGAGAGAACGCAGGCUGAGUGGAGUGUGAUCGAAAGUGUCCGGCGUCACAAACCACGAGGAGGAGCAGCGUGUUCUCUCCUGAGCGCGAAGCGGGCGGGCGGUGCUGCUUGUGCAGGAGCCGCCUGUCAUUGAUGACCGUUCCCGUCCCACUUGGUUGGGUCUGGGAGGGAGAGAACACAGGCUGAGUGGUUUGUGCCUCAUUAAAGGGUUAAAAAAACAGAGUUCAAGACUAAAAGUUGGGGUCUAAAUGCUCGUCUCUUUUUUUAUGGCCUGGCUCCUGGAAUACUUUUUUCUUGUCGGUG
ensembl:lncRNA